rnacentral:miRNA from 1 species
GAGUGGAGAUGAGAUUGAGAGGGAGAUGAGAGGAGAGGAUGUGAGGGAGGAGUAAUAAGAGGGAAAACAAAAACUAAAAUCUUUUUCAAAUUGUUUUCAAUUUUGUCACUCCUCCCUCUCAUCAUCUCUCUCAAUCUCAUCCUCAUUCA